UUUUUUUUCUUUUACAUCCGCACCCACAGCCUACGAAGUGCCCAGGCCUGGGAUCAAACCCCUGCCUCUGCAGCAACCCAAGCCGCUGCAGUCAGACUGUUAACCCACUGAGCCACAGCAGGAACUCCUCAAAAACAUCUGAUUCAGUGAAAGGCCAGCACCACCCCUGACGUCCAUUCUGUUUAAUUCCAUGUACACAAAAUAAAGAACAAAUAAACACCAGGGUUUAGAACUCAAGAUAGUGGUUCUGUGGCUCGGAGCGACACAGGGGCUUCUGGGCUGCUGACAAGGCACUGUGUCUUAAACAGAGGCAGGUUACACUGUGGGGUCUCAUUAAGCCUUUUUUUUUUUGGCUGUAUCUACAGCAUAUGAACAUUCCUGGGCCAGGGAUCAAACCUGCACGAUAGCAGCGACAACACCAGAUCCUUAACCUGCUGAGCCACCAGGGAACUCCUGGCAGACCUGUGCUGUCCGGCUCUCUGCUCACUGCCAUUUCUCCAACUGCCCCACUGUAGUGCCCCCUGCACCCAGCAAGCUCACAAAGCACCUGAAAAUAAGUGUUCGUCUGUGUGCAAAAGAGCUCGUUUCUCCUACUGCCUCCCCGGUAACCAGAAUCCCACUUAUGAAUCAUGUCUGAACCUCAAUAAUCUGAUCAGCCUCUAUACAUGAUCAAACUGCAAUGUGGGUUCUUUUUCCUUUCCUUUUUUUUUUUUUUUUUGUCUUUUUCCCUUUUCUAGGGCUGCUCCCCUGGCAUAUGGAGCAGCCCUAGAAAAGGCAAAAAGACAAAAAAUUAAAAAAAAAAAAAAAAAAAGCCGUUUAUGACAAACCCACAGCCAAUAUAAAGCUCAACAGAGAAAAACUAAAAGCCUUCCCACCAAAAUCUGGAACAAGAUGCCCACUCUCACCACUUUUAUUCAACAUAGCACUCAAGUCCUAGCCAUGGCAAUCAGGCAAACAAAAGAAAUAAAAGGUGGAGUUUCUGUCGUGGCGCAGUGGUUACCGAAUCCGCCUAGGCACCAUGAGGUUGUGGGUUCAAUCCCUGGCCUCGCUCAGUUGGCUGAGGAUCUGGCGUUGCCGUGAGCUGUAGUGUGGGUCUCAGACUUGGAUCGGAUCUCACGUUGCUGUGGCUCUGGCGUAGGCCAGCGGUCACAGCUCCAAUUCAACCCCUAGCCUGGAAACCUCCAUAUGCCAUGGAAGCGGCCCUGGAAAAGGCAAAAAGACAAAAAAAAAAAGAAAGAAAGAAAGAAAGAAAAGGUAUCCAAAUUGGAACCGAAGUAAAAUUGUUAGCAUAUGCAGAUGACACAAUACUAUAUAUAGAAAACCCUAAGGCCUCCACGGAAAACCGACUUGAACUGAUCGACAAAUUCGGCAAAGGAGCAGGAUAUAAGACGAAUGUAACCUGCUGUGGCUCAGGAGGUUAAGAGCCCAACAUAGGGCCCGUGAGGAUGCCGAGAAAAUUAAACACCUAGCAAUAAACCUAAGCAAGAAGGGGAAAGACCUAUAUGCUGAGAAGUAUAAAAAUUAAUACUGGAAAUUAUUAAAAGGAUUUGAAGAAAUGAAAAGAUACCCAGUGCCCAGGACUAAAAGAAUAUUAUUAAAAUGACCGUGCUACCCAAAGCAAUCUACAGAUUUAAUGUGAUCCCUAUCAAAUUACCCAUGACAGGACUUUCAGACGUGGGUCAGAUUUGCAGUUGCUGUGGCUGUGGUAUAGGCCAGCAGCUGCAGCUUCAAUCUGCCCCCUAGCCUGAGAACUUCCAUAUGCUACAGGUGCAGCCCUAAAAAGAUUUAAAAACAAAAAAACCCCAACUACUCAUGACAUUUUUCACAAAACUAGAAUAAAUAAUCCAAAAAUGUAUAUGGAAUCAGGGAGUUCCCAUCGUGGCUCAGUGGUUAACGAAUCCGACUAGGAAUGAUGAGGUUGCAGGUUCAGUAUCUGGCCUUGCUCAGUGGGUUAAGGAUCUGGCAUUGCCACGAGCUGUUGUGUAGGUUGCAGAUGCGGCUCGGAUCCGACGUUGCUGUGGCUGUGGUGUAGGCAGGCGGCUACGGCUCCAAUUCGACACCUAGCCUGGGAACCUCCAUAUGCCGCAGGAGCAGCCCAAGAAAUGGGAAAAAGACCGAAAAAAAAAAAAAAAAAAAAAAAAGAAUAUGGAAUCAUAUAAGACCCAGAAGUGCCAAAGCAAUCAUGAGGAGAAAAAAAGGGGGGGAAGGAGGCACAAUUCUCCCAGGGUUCAGACAACACUAUGAAGCUGCAGUAAUCAAAACAGUAUGGUAUUGGUACAAAAACAGACAUACAGACCAACAGAACAGAAUACAGAGCCCAGAAAUAAACCCUCACACCCACACACCUACAGUCAAUUAAUCUUCAACAAAGGACGCACGAAUAUAAAAUGGGAAAAAGACAAGUCUCUUCAGCAAGUGGUGCUGGGAAAACUGGACAGCUACAUGUAAACCAAUGAAAUUAGAAUAGACCGUGUACAAAAAUAAACUCAAAAUGUUUUCAAGACUUAAACAUAAAACGCAUCACCAUAAAUCUCCUAGAAGAGAACACAGGCAAAAUGCUCGCUGACAUAAACCGUAAAAAUGUUUUCUUAGGUCAGUCUCCCAAGGCAAUAGAAAUAUAAACGAAAGUAAAUAAAUGGGACCUAAUCACAAACUUUUGCACAGCAAAGGAAACCAUUACAAAAACCUGAAAAGAUAACCUACAGAAGGGGAGAAAAUGGUUGCAAACCAUGCGGCCAACAAGAGCUUCAUCUCCAAAACACACAAACAACUCAUACAACUCAGCACAAAGACAAACCAAAUCAAAAAAUGGGGGGAGUUCCAUUUGAGCCACAUUUGAGUUCCAUGUGGCAGUGGGUUAUGAACCUGACUAGUAUCCAGGAGGAUGUGGGUUCAAUUCCUGACCUCACUCAGUGGGUUAAUGAUCUGGCGUCAUUAUGAGCUGUGUUGAAAGUCGCAGACUUGGCUUGAUCCCACAUCACUGUGUCUGUGGCAUAGCCAGCAGCCAUGUAGCUCCAAUUCACCCCCUUGCCUGGGAACUUCCUAAAAGACCUAAAAAGAAAAAAGGAAAAAAAAGAAAGAAAGAGAAAAGGAUAAUUUUAAAAAGGGGGCAGAAAACCUAAACAGACAUUUCUCCAAAGAAGACACACAGAUGACUAGUAGUCCCAAGAAAAAAAUGCUCAACAUCACUAUUUAUUACAGAAAUGCAAAUCAAAACUACAACGAGGUACCACCUCACACUAAUCAGAAUGGCCAUCACAAGUAAGUCUACAAGGAGUUCCCGUCGUGGCGCAGUGGUUAACGAAUCCGACUAGGAACCAUGAGGUUGCGGGUUUGAUCCCUGCCCUUGCUCAGCGGGUUAAGGAUCCGGCGUUGCCGUGAGCUGUGGUGUAGGCCGCAGACGCGGCUCAGAUCCUGCGUUGCUGCGGCUCUGGCAUAGGCUGGCAGCUACAGCUCCGAUUCGACCCCUAGCCUGGGAACCUCCAUAUGCUGCGAGAGCGGCCCAUGAAAUAGCAAAAAGACAAAAAAAAAAAAAAAAAAAAAAAAAAAAAA
rnacentral:lncRNA from 1 species